rnacentral:sRNA from 10 species
UCAAUGAAUCAAGCAAGUAAAGGUGGUGAGCCCUCUGAUAAGGGUAAAGAUAUCGUACCCGAGGAUCGAGAAUAGGAGUACUUAUACCACUCCAAACUCCCUUUAUUGUUAUGUAUUUAGCUUACUGCAGUGGGCCGGUUUUCGUGGACUAGUCUAUUGAGGGGCACGGUAAAUCCUGUUAUAUUUAUCUUAGUACGAGAGGCGCGAAGGGUAUCUCCUAAGGCUCAGGACAGUCUGUAGACGGCCGAUUUUGUUUGGAUCUGCAUCCUUAAAAAUCGAAGGUCUACAAUCUUGCAAAUUUUCGAUUAUAUCGGGGCACACAUGUCAUUGUAGAAUAUUUUCGUAUAUUUGAUUUAGUGUGCUAUUAUAUAUGUGAAUUUAUUUUGCUCUUA